rnacentral:rRNA from 1 species
AUUGAACGCUGGCGGCGGGCUUAACUCAUGCAAGUCGAGCGAGCGGCGGACGGGUGAGUAAUGUCUGGGAAACUGCCUGAUGGAGGGGGAUAACUACUGGAACCGGUAGCUAAUACCGCAUACCAUCGGAUGUGCCCAGAUGGGAUUAGCUAGGAGGUGGGGUAAAGGCUAACCUAGUCGACGAUCCCUAGCUGGUCUGAGAGGAUGACCAGCAACAAUGUAGCUGAGACACGGUGCAAGCUCCUACGAGAGGCAGCAGAGGGAAAUAUUGCACAAUGGGCGCAGGCCUGAUGCAGCCAUCCCGCGUGUAUGAAGAAGGCCUUCGGGUUGUAAAGUACUUUCAGCGGGGAGGCGUUACCCGCAGAAGAAGCACCGGCUAACUCCGUGCCAGCAGCCGCGAUAAUAC